rnacentral:Y_RNA from 1 species
GGCUGGUCCAAAGGCAGUGAGUUAUCGCAAUUGAUUAUUCACAGUCAGUUACAGAUUGAACUCUUUGUUCUACUCUUUCCCCAAUUCUCACUACUGCACUUGACCAGUCUUAA